rnacentral:misc_RNA from 1 species
UUGAAGCUGUGAAGAUGUCCAAGAAGGCAGGUUGGGGUGUAAUGACCAGUCACCGCAGUGGAGAAACAGAAGAUACCUUCAUUGCUGAUCUUGCUGUCGGUUUGUCAACGGGACAAAUCAAGACUGGAGCUCCUUGCAGGUCAGAGCGUCUCGCCAAGUACAACCAGCUGUUGAGGAUCGAAGAGGAACUCGGAUCAGAGGCUGUUUAUGCAGGAGCAAGCUUCCGCAAGCCCGUUGAGCCCUACUAAAUUUCAGCAGUUCCAAGUGUUGAGAUUGUUGAGUUGUUGAUCUGCCAAAAAUAAAUUCCUCUUAGAUUGGUCAUUUUAGGAUUAUAUUAUAUGACCUUGGUGAAAUAACAAGCAGACUCAAAAACAAGUUUUGUUUUCUGAGGUUUUAUUAGUAUUUUGAAUUCUGAAAAGAAAAAAAAAGAGUUUUUUUUAGGCUUGGUUACUGUAAAACUUUGAUAUGCAAGUUUGUACUAUGUUCUAAUUAAUAUUUUG